UCUCCGUUGGUGAACCAGCGGAGGGAUCAUUACGAGAGUGUCACCACUCCCAACCCAUUGUUUACCUACCCGUCCACCGUGCUUCGGCAGGCAGUCCUGUGGGACAGGGCCUCGCCCCCGCGAGGGGGUGCCUGCCGCUGGCCAACCAAACAUUCCAGCUGUUUUUAGUACCAUCUGAGUCUUCCACAAAUAAACAAAACUUUCAACAACGGAUCUCUUGGUUCUGGCAUCGAUGAAGAACGCAGC
rnacentral:misc_RNA from 1 species